rnacentral:rRNA from 1 species
AUGUGUGUAGAAGAAAAGGUUUCCAUGUUCUUGCUAGUAGUGGGCCACGGUCUGAAAAUGAGGUUUCUUCGAGGCACAUACAAGCGGUCUUUGGGAACUAUAAGUACUCACUUUUCCGAAGUCUUAAGAGUCAUUCUAUCUAUGCACGGGGAGUUCAUUAAGCUUCCAUAUGCUAAUGUACAAUCUCCCGAUGAUUGUAACACUAGAUGGUUGUCAUGUAGAUGUUUCAGUUCCUGUGGCUGCCCAAGGGAGGUACAGGAGUAG